rnacentral:tRNA from 1 species
UGGCUCAGUUGGUAGAGCAUGGUGUUUGCAGCACCAGGGUUGUGGGUUCGAUUCCCAC